GCCGUCGUUAAUGCCGCCUUCUCGUAUAACUUGAGAUAUUUCUAGCUGUUGCAACUGAGACUUCUCGUGCAGUUGCAACUGCAGCAGUUGAAUUCAAAUGCAUCAAAAUAAACACCAGUUUUAGAUCUUCAUACAAUUACAAUUGCAGUAUAGCUAUAAUUACGUGUAAACAAACAGUAGUAUAGUUAUAAUUAUGUGUAAACAAACAGUUCCUAAUUGGACCUUCAUAUACAGUCUCUCAAAUUAAUGCGGCAGAUUUUGAGUAAUUGGGUGGCAGCUGCAGCAACUUGUAUUAUCAUUAGCUACAUUCAUUUCUUUGGUGGCAUAUAAUUAAGUCAGCUUUUGUAGUUUCAAUUUCCCAACUACAGCAAUUUAUCUUGCGACCAAAAUUGACUGCAGUUCGAGCUGCAAUAUAAUUGAAAGCCAACGGUGAGGAAAACUCAGAAUUUCUGUCCAUGCAAUUCUCCAAAUAUCAAAAGUAAUAACAUACAAAACUUAUCUGAAUUAUAAACCAUUUUGAAUUAGUUACGGAGCCUUUUAAAAUUUUAAGUUUACUAUCUAAUGUUUCAAUUUGAUUAAUUUGAGUUUGCUAAUGGCACUUUGACUUAAAACUUUAAGUUAAUUACGAGAAUUAUAUAAAAUAUACUAAAAUUUGUAAAAAUAAACAAUGCAUUCAAAAUUUCAAAUUAAAGCGUCGUUGACAACCUUAAAUCAAACAAAUUAAAAGAUUGAAUAGUAAAUUAAGCUAUUGGUGCUAUUAGAUUUUCCGCCUUUGAAUGGAAAAAAAUGUAAGGUUAGGAUGAUGUUAAUGAUGUCAAGAGUCCGGCUGGGAUACUACCGAUAGUACCAAGCGCUUGAUACUAUUGAGUUUUUAAUAAUCAAAGGGUUUCAAAAUUUGUAUUUAAUAAUUAAUAUGAGGCGUUU
rnacentral:lncRNA from 1 species